AUUGCCCUAGUAACGGCGAGUGAAGCGGCAACAGCUCAAAUUUGAAAUCUGGCUUCGGUCCGAGUUGUAAUUUGUAGAGGAUGCUUUUGGCGAGGUGCCUUCUGAGUUCCCUGGAACGGGACGCCUUAGAGGGUGAGAGCCCCGUACGGUUGGACACCAAGCCUCUGUAAAGCUCCUUCGACGAGUCGAGUAGUUUGGGAAUGCUGCUCAAAAUGGGAGGUAUAUUUCUUCUAAAGCUAAAUACCGGCCAGAGACCGAUAGCGCACAAGUAGAGUGAUCGAAAGAUGAAAAGCACUUUGAAAAGAGGGUUAAACAGUACGUGAAAUUGUUGAAAGGGAAGCGCUCAUGACCAGACUUGUGCCCUGCGGAUCAUCCAGCGUUCUCGCCGGUGCACUUCGCUUGGUUCAGGCCAGCAUCAGUUCUCUCGGGGGGAUAAAAGCUUCAGGAAUGUGGCUCUCUCGGGAGUGUUAUAGCCUGUUGCAUAAUACCUCUCGGGGGACCGAGGUUCGCGCUUCUGCAAGGAUGCUGGCGUAAUGGUCAUCAGCGACCCGUCUUGAAACACGGACCAAGGAGUCAAGCAUUAGUGCGAGUGUUUGGGUGUAAAACCCGCACGCGUAAUGAAAGUGAACGUAGGUGAGAGCUUCGGCGCAUCAUCGACCGAUCCUGAUGUUCUCGGAUGGAUUUGAGUAAGAGCAUAACUGUUCGGACCCGAAAGAUGGUGAACUAUGCUUGGAUAGGGUGAAGCCAGAGGAAACUCUGGUGGAGGCUCGCAGCGGUUCUGACGUGCAAAUCGAUCGUCAAAUCUGCGCAUGGGGGCGAAAGACUAAUCGAACCAUCUAGUAGCU
rnacentral:rRNA from 1 species